rnacentral:rRNA from 1 species
UGGGGAAUUUCGGACAAUGGGCGCAAGCCUGAUCCAGCAAUGCCGCGUGAGUGAAGAAGGCCUUCGGGUUGUAAAGCUCUUUUGUCAGGGAAGAAACGGCUGAGGAUAAUACCUUCGGCUAAUGACGGUACCUGAAGAAUAAGCACCGGCUAACUACGUGCCAGCAGCCGCGGUAAUACGUAGGGUGCAAGCGUUAAUCGGAAUUACUGGGCGUAAAGCGUGCGCAGGCGGUUUUGUAAGUCUGACGUGAAAUCCCCGGGCUCAACCUGGGAAUUGCGUUGGAGACUGCAAGGCUGGAGUCUGGCAGAGGGGGGUAGAAUUCCACAUGUAGCAGUGAAAUGCGUAGAGAUGUGGAGGAACACCGAUGGCGAAGGCAGCCCCCUGGGUCAAGACUGACGCUCAUGCACGAAAGCGUGGGGAGCAAACAGGAUUAGAUACCCUGGUAGUCCACGCCCUAAACGAUGUCUACUAGUUGUCGGGUCUUAAUUGACUUGGUAACGCAGCUAACGCGUGAAGUAGACCGCCUGGGGAGUACGGUCGCAAGAUUA